rnacentral:rRNA from 1 species
GAUGAACGCUGGCGGCGUGCCUAACACAUGCAAGUCGAACGUGAAGAGCCAUUUCGGUGGCUCAGAAAGUGGCGAACGGGUGAGAAACACGUAGGUGACCUGCAGCGAAGGGGGGGAUAAUCACUGGAAACGGUGGCUAAUACCGCAUGGCUCUGCGGACUCGGGCGUGCUCGUGGGUAGAGGGAUUACUGCUUCGCGAGGGGCCUGCGUCCGAUUAGCUGGUUGGUGGGGUAACGGCCUACCAAGGCGCAGAUCGGUAGCUGGUCUGAGAGGACGAUCAGCCACACGGGAACUGAGACACGGUCCCGACUCCUACGGGGGCAGCAGUGAGGAAUAUUGCGCAAUGGGGGAAACCCUGACGCAGCAACGCCGCGUGGAGGAUGAAGGUCUUCGGAUUGUAAACUCCUUUUCUCGGGGAAGAGCAAGGACGGUACCUGAGGAAUCAGUCACGGCUAACUACGUGCCAGCCGCCGCGGUAAAAC